CCUUCGAUAGCUCAGUUGGUAGAGCGGAGGACUGUAGGUUGAUCAUAGCAGUUAUCCUUAGGUCGCUGGUUCAACUCCGGCUCGAAGGA
rnacentral:tRNA from 1 species